AGAAUUCCAAAGAAAUAAUAAGGAAUCUUAAAGAAAUAAUAGAAUGAUUACAAACAUAUCUCAAAUACAUCUCAAUUCAAUCUUAAUUUAAUCCUAGUUGAAAUCUUAUUAGACUUCAUUCAAACUUUAGGCCAAAAACUAACUAAAUCUUAAAUCCUAAAUAAACUCAAAUAAAAUCCUAAAUCCUAAAUAAAUCCUGAUCAAAUCCUAACUAAAUCUUAAAUCCUAAACCAAAUCCUAAUCCUCAAUCAAAUCCUAACCAAACUCUAGUCUUAAAUCAAAUCCUAACCAAAUCCUAAACCCUAAAUCCUAAAGCAAAUCCUAAUCCUAAAUUAAACUCUUACCAAAUCCUAAUCAAAUCUAAAUCUUAAAUCAAACCAUAAUCAAAUCCUA
rnacentral:lncRNA from 1 species